CGCAAGGUGACUGAGAUCAAGUAAUAAACUGUAAAUUUAUAAACAGGCAAUGCCUUCUUGCUG
rnacentral:tRNA from 1 species